rnacentral:rRNA from 1 species
GCUGGCUGCGUGCUUACACAUGCAAGUCGAACGCUGAAGCCUGGUGCUUGCACCGGGUGGAUGAGUGGCGAACGGGUGAGUAACACGUGAGUAACCUGCCCCUGACUUCGGGAUAAGCCCGGGAAACUGGGUCUAAUACCGGAUACGACUGCCGGACGCAUGUCUGGUGGUG